rnacentral:misc_RNA from 1 species
GACGAAGGUCCCAAGCGUUACCCGGUGUUACUAGGCGUAAAGCGUCCGCAGGUGGCUUGCCGCAUCUCUGGUCAAAUCCCGGGGCUUAACCCCGGAACUGCUGGAGAGAUGGGCUCGCUAGAGGCAGGGAGAGGCACAUGGAAUGGCUGGUGUAGUAGUAAAAUGCGUUAAUAUCAGCCAGAACACCAAAUGCGAAGGCAGUGUGCUGGAACUGUCCUGACACUCAUGGACGAAAGCGUGGGGAGCGAAUGGG